rnacentral:rRNA from 1 species
UUGAUCUCAAAUCAGUA